GCAAACUUGGUCAUUUAGAGGAAGUAAAAGUCGUAACAAGGUUUCCGUAGGUGAACCUGCGGAAGGAUCAUUAACAAAUCCAAACAACAAAUACCCUGUUGAAAUGUUGGUGCAGCGUCAUGUUGCAUCAUUUCUUUCCCUUGAUGGGAGUGGAUGGAUAUGUGUGAGUGAGGAUGAUGAUGUCAUGUCUAUGUAUGUCUUCAUCCCCACCCCACCUUCUCCCUCCCCCCUUCCGCCAAGGGAAGGCUUACUACAAAUUACAGACUAUUGAUUGACAAGCUUAAGAUGAUAUCAUAACGUUAAACAACUUUUAACAAUGGAUCUCUUGGCUCUUGCAUCGAUGAAGAACGCAGC
rnacentral:misc_RNA from 1 species